rnacentral:rRNA from 1 species
CACGUAGGGGGCAAGCGUUGUCCGGAAUUAUUGGGCGUAAAGAGCGUGUAGGCGGCCAGAUAGGUCCGUUGUGAAAACUCGAGGCUCAACCUCGAGACGCCGAUGGAAACCAUUUGGCUAGAGUCCGGAAGAGGAGAGUGGAAUUCCUGGUGUAGCGGUGAAAUGCGCAGAUAUCAGGAGGAACACCCGUGGCUAAGGCGGCUCUCUAGUACGGUACUGACGCUGAGACGCGAAAGCGUGGGGAGCGAACAGG